rnacentral:rRNA from 1 species
UACGUAGGGGGCCUAGCGUUGUCCGGAUUUAUUGGGCGAAAGAGCUCGUAGGCGGUUCGGUAAGUCAGGUGUGAAAUCUCCACGCUCAACGUGGAGGCGCCACCUGAAACUGCCGUGACUCGAGUCCGGUAGGGGAGUGUGGAAUUCCCGGUGUAGCGGUGAAAUGCGCAGAUUAUCGGGAGGAACACCAGUAGCGAAAGGGCGGCACUCUGGG